rnacentral:rRNA from 1 species
GACGAACGCUGGCGGCGUGCCUAAUACAUGCAAGUCGAACGCAGUGGGGACGGGUGAGUAACACGUGGGUAACCUCCCAUCAGAGGGGAUAACACUUGGAAACAGGUGCUAAACCGAUACUGAUGGAUGGACCCGCGGUGCAUUAGCUAGUUGGUGAGGUAACGGCUCACCAAGGCCACGAUGCAUAGCCGGCCUGGGGGGGUGAUCGGCCACAAUGGGACUGAGACACGGCCCAGAAUCCUACGGGAGGCAACAGGAGGGAAUCUUGGGCAAUGGACGAAAGUCUUACCGAGCAACGCCGCGUGAGUGAAGAAGGGUUUCGGAUCUUAAAACUCUGUUGUGAGAGAAGCGGUAUCUAACCGGAAAACCACGGCUAAAUACGGGCCAGCAGGCGCGGGUAUAC